rnacentral:rRNA from 1 species
GAUGAACGCUGGCGGCGUGCCUAAUACAUGCAAGUCGAGCGAACAGACGAGGAGCUUGCUCCUCUGAUGUUAGCGGCGGACGGGUGAGUAACACGUGGAUAACCUACCUAUAAGACUGGGAUAACUUCGGGAAACCGGAGCUAAUACCGGAUGACAUUUUGAACCGCAUGGUUCAACAGUGAAAGACGGUCUUGCUGUCACUUAUAGAUGGAUCCGCGCUGCAUUAGCUAGUUGGUAAGGUAACGGCUUACCAAGGCAACGAUGCGUAGCCGACCUGAGAGGGUGAUCGGCCACACUGGAACUGAGACACGGUCCAGACUCCUACGGGAGGCAGCAGUAGGGAAUCUUCCGCAAUGGGCGAAAGCCUGACGGAGCAACGCCGCGUGAGUGAUGAAGGUCUUCGGAUCGUAAAACUCUGUUAUUAGGGAAGAACAAAUGUGUAAGUAACUAUGCACGUCUUGACGGUACCUAAUCAGAAAGCCACGGCUAACUACGUG